rnacentral:lncRNA from 1 species
CUGACUCUUUUCCUUCUCAAACCAGCCGUGCAACACCAAGAGAAGGAGACCAAAAUUCCUUCUUCAUUCACCUCUCAAACUUGCACCAAAUCACUUGAAAUUUCUACCACAAACUCACAACAGCUUGGAGAUUCAUCUAGGCAAGGAGAGGAGCUUCAUUUCCACGGUUUUCUUGAGGCUCAAAGUGACCAAAAAUUUCUGAUCUAGUCAUCCAAGAAGGUAGCAAAUCAUCCAACCCAUAGAUCUUAGUUUUUGUAAGAUAUAUUGCACACAUAAUGUUAUAUAAUCAUGUGGGUAGCUUUGUUUAUGGUGUAAAAUGAAAUGGGUGGGUUCGAUGAACUCCUACCUUUGUCUUGGGGACUGAUCUCAUGCUUGAUGAUGAAAUUAAUGGUGGUUUAGUGCUUAAAUUAGUGGAUUAAUGUUAUAUUGUUGGUAGAAAAUCAAAGGAGGUGCUUGGAGCAAAAGUGACCGUUUUACCCCUGCCUUGUCCGACCAUUUUUGUGCAAAAUUUUGAGAUUCUAAUGACUUGAUUAUGUUGUUUACAUGUUAUUGUGAGUGUGUACAAAAUUUCAUUGAAAAAUAACAUGAUUUGGUUGGCCAAAUGAGUUGAUUUCCAAAGUUAGCAAAACUGGAAAAUGAAUCCCGUAUUGCCCAGGCAGUCAUUUUGUAUCGGCCAUAACUCUUUGGUCUGAUGUCGAAAUUGAGUGCCGUUGGUGGCAUUUGAAACUAGACAUUCCCAGCUUUCCAUUGGUACCAAAUGCACGUUCUAGUUCUACUUGAGUGAGCCACACCAUUCGAUUGAAAAUCACUGUCCUGUUUCGUUUCUCUCCAGGAGACAGGACAGGACUUGUAUCUUGAUGCUAAAAAACGAGCUGGUUGUGGAUAGAAUUUGAAAAUGGUUUCUUCUGAUAAAAUUCAUCUUUAUGAGAGAGCUUUCCAACGCCAUCAACCAUGUCCAAUUCCAAGUUGAAUUGAGUGAGUUGUGGCCAAAGUUUGAAACUGCUACAGUGAUAGAAUUUUCCACUUGGACAGAUUUGUAACUAACAAUGAUUUGGGACUUGUUGUUUUGGAAAGUUUGUUGUCCAACAUCUACCAAACUUUAUAUUAGAUGUUCCUUGGACUUUGUUUCACAAAUAAACCAGAUUCGGGUUGGUUACUUUGGACAAAAUGUUUAAAAAGGAAAGAAGAGCUAGAACACAGUUUUAUCUUGGGAAAUUUCUUGAACUUUGAUGGUUUAGUUAACUACCUUCCCGUGUGAAUUUUCAAAUAAAAUUUGAUAGAAGAGUAAUCCUCAUAUGGAAGUUUAAUUGUGCAAAAUUUGGUAAUAUUCUAAGAUCAUUUUGAUACGCAAAUGAUGUCACAAAAUUCGCUCAUCGAACCUGGAAAACUUUUCGUUUUCUCUUAGCCAAUUGGUCAAAUCUGAUUUGGGGAAUUUUAUUUCGAAAAUUUGGAUGUCAAUGGUCUUUAAAUUACUCAGUGGAUGUUUAUGAACUCUUGGUUUCAAUAAUGGAGAGAUUUGAAACUGAUUUCAUGGUACAAAAAGUUUGUAAACAAAAGAAAAGUGAGAAGGUAGUUUAGCCUUGAAACUCUUCAAAAACUUUGGUUGUUUUAAUGAUUGCUUUACCGUGAGAGUUUUUGUAUGAAACUUGGUAGAAAUGUUGUUCACACAUGGGAGAUUUAGUGUACCAAGUUUGAUGUAUUUCCAAUGCUAACUCGAUGACCAAAUGAUACUUUGAAUCUAGUCUUCAAACCUGGAAAAUAGCCCAACAGUCUUAACUUUUUCAGCAACUUGGGGCUACUAUAUCUUGGUACUCAAAACUCCGAUUCUUGUUUCGCCUAUUGUGUUUUAAACCUUGUUUGCAACUCUAAUUGAGUUCCAAAUUUCAAAGGUUAGUUCAGAACAAGUGAAUUUUGCCGAAUUUCCAAAAUUGGCCAAAAACCAACUUAAAUCUGUCUUGGUAAUUCAAGUUACCAAUUUUGAGCCUAAAUUUGAGUGCCUUUCACUUACAUUCGUGGAAAAGUGUCUUCUAAGAACUUUUAGUACUUACAAAGGGGUUUCCAACAGUAUCAAGUUUUCUAAUUUUGGACUUGUAGAGAGUGAGAUAUGAUUUUUCAAAAAUUGCUUGUUAAAUCUGGAAUUUUUCUAAUUUAAAGGAAACUAAGGGUUUCGAACUCUCCCUUUUCCUUCAAUAUCAUUUGAUCGUUUUACAUUUGAUUUCAGAGAUAGAAAUUAGAUUUGUCUUGUGUUUUAAAAUCCCACUUUUGAACCUCGAGUUACUCGAAUUCUUAGACUCGUCUCCGCGUUAAUUUUUUAGAUUGUACUAGUGUACAAUCUUCCUCGAUAAUUAGAGCGAUAUUGAGUGGUAGUUAAUUAUUGUUUGCUCAGGCACUCGAAGGAACCUUCAAGAGGAUCUCGGAGCGGACACCUAAAACGCCUGUUUGAGAACUACUCGCUUGUUUUGACUAGGUGAGUGUUCCAUAUAGGAAUACGUAAAUGAAUAAGUCUAGAACAUGCUUAUUUCAUGAUUAUUAAAUGUUAAGUACUAUGUGUUAAGUAAUUACCAUAUUCAUGCCUAUUUACGGAAGUAUACUUGCAUUGCAUAUCUACAUGAAUUGGUUAAAUGAUUAACCAUAUCAAAUGACCAUAUGAACUCGAUACAUGCUUAACUUGCUAGAUUGCUUGCUUAGCUUAUUCGGUUUUGAAAAAUGGGGUCGAGUGUGUAUUUUAUCGCACUCGUUCUCUUUUGAGAUGAAUAACUCAUGCAUGGAAAUGAUCGAAUAACAUGACUUGGUAUGCUAUGGUUGCAUACGUCGUUGGAGUGAAUCUCCUCGACUCUCGCAUGGUAAAAAUAGGAUAACGGCCAAUGAUGGCCUAUUCAUAUGACAAAUGCCUGUCAAUUAACCGUCACUACUCAACCGUUAACCGUUAACCGUGAACCGUUUACCAACCCACAUGACUACUUGAUUACUUGACUAUCUGCUCACAUGAUUUCCAAUCUACAUGGCUAUUCGAUAUCCGUGAAUUACAUGCUCCCAUGAAAUCAACUUGUAUUGCUUACGUGCUUACGUGCUAAGUAUCCACUUGAUUACUUGAUUAUCAUGAAUUACAUGUUAUAUGAAACUGUCCAUCAUUAUUAGGCGAGUGUGUACUUUACCUCACUUGACCUACUCAAAUGAUGAAUUUUACCUUUUGUUGAAUUACUUGGUUACCUGUGCAUGUUGUAAGUUCUAAGCUGAACUUGGGCCCUGCCCUUGGUUACUGACCUACUCGAGCCAGGACUGGGCUCGGUCGGGCAGAUUGGAACCCUGGGCCACCGUUUCGGUAUACUCGAGUAUUACCACUGGAGGAAUAAGGUGAUGGCCAGUCCAACCGAGGGGAUCCGGAAGUCAUAAGGUGCAGAUGACCGACAGAAUUUCACUGGAACACCGUAUCCUACCGUAUAUAUUUACCUUGUAUCAUGAUAAUUGUUUCAUGCUAAAAUGCCAACAUGAAAUCCUGAGUUAUGCCUGUGAUAUGCUCCAUACCUAUUACCUGACCAAUGUACUCAUAUCAUGAUACCUGUCUCAUGAUAAAUGUCUCAUACCAUGAUAAAUGUCUCAAAUUACUCGUACAAUGAUUAUCACCUCAUGAUAACAUGCCAUUGUGCAACAUUGAACCAUGCAUGUGAUAUACCCAACUUACUUGAUUUAUUUGAACUGUUAGAGUGUCUUGGAACCUCAUUGAGCUGUGUAGCUCAUCCCACGUUGUGGUUUUCUUUUACAGGGUUCGAGACCAAGGGUGCUCGUGAGUAGUACUAGAUUGUUUUCUUUUGCAGACUUUAAAUUAUAUUAUAACGGAUGGCUAUUGUACCCUUUUCCGUUGGGUUGUAUUUAAGCUUAAAAGCUGCAUAAUUGUAAGUGUGAGAUAUUUGAAGUACUUUAAUUAUGAAUUGAGGUUACUUAAAGUAUUUCGAGCUUUUGAAUGAUGGAUUGUAGUGAGUCCUGGCGAGAGUUGGGCAGGCGUCCCGCGGAUACUCUUUGGUUCGCCUUAGGGAGAAGUGGGGGCGUCACACUAAUAAAUCUCCACCUUGACGAA